AGAACGAACGCUGGCGGCGUGGAUAAGACAUGCAAGUCGAACGAGGUAGUUUGGUAGCAAUAUCAAACUGCCUAGUGGCAAACGGGUGCGUAACACGUAGGUUACAUUCCGGAAAGUGUGGGAUAGCCCAGGGAAACUUGGAUUAAUACCGCAUGUGAUCGCAAGAUCAAAGGCGAAAGCCGCUUUCUGAUUGGCCUGCGCCCUAUCAGCUAGUUGGUGAGGUAAUGGCUCACCAAGGCUACGACGGGUAGCUGGUCUGAGAGGACGACCAGCCACACUGGAACUGAGACACGGUCCAGACACCUACGGGUGGCAGCAGUCGAGAAUCUUUCACAAU
rnacentral:rRNA from 1 species